CCUACGGGUGGCAGCAGUAGGGAAUCUUUCACAAUGGGCGAAAGCCUGAUGGAGCAACGCCGCGUGCAGGAUGAAGGCCUUCGGGUUGUAAACUGCUUUUAUAAGCGAGAAAUAUGAUGGUAACUUAUGAAUAAGGAUCGGCUAACUACGUGCCAGCAGCCGCGGUCAUACGUAGGAUCCGAGCAUUAUCCGGAGUGACUGGGUGUAAAGAGUUGCGUAGGUGGCAUAAUAAGUAGCUAGGGAAAUCUGGUGGCUCAACCAUUCAGACUAUUAGCUAAACUGUUAAUCUCGAGACCGUUAGGGGUAACUGGAAUGUCUAGUGUAGGAGUGAAAUCCGUAGAUAUUAGAAGGAACACCAAUAGCGUAGGCAGGUUGCUGGGACGGUUCUGACACUAAGGCACGAAAGCGUAGGGAGCAAACGGGAUUAGAUACCCCAGUAGUC
rnacentral:rRNA from 1 species